UUGCACGCUGGCGGCAUGCCUUACACAUGCCAGUCGAACGGUAACGGGCCUUCGGGUGCCGACGAGUGGCGAACGGGUGAGUAAUACAUCGGAACGUGCCCGAUCGUGGGGGAUAACGAGGCGAAAGCUUUGCUAAUACCGCAUACGAUCUACGGAUGAAAGCAGGGGACCGCAAGGCCUUGCGCGGACGGAGCGGCCGAUGGCAGAUUAGGUAGUUGGUGGGCUAAAAGCUUACCAAGCCGACGAUCUGUAGCUGGUCUGAGAGGAUGAUCAGCCACACUGGGACUGAGACACGGCCCAGACUCCUACGGGAGGCAGCAGUGGGGAAUUUUGGACAAUGGGCGCAAGCCUGAUCCAGCCAUGCCGCGUGCAGGAUGAAGGCCUUCGGGUUGUAAACUGCUUUUGUACGGAACGAAAAGCCUUCUUUUAAUACAGGAGGGUCAUGACGGUACCGUAAGAAUAAGCACCGGCUAACUACGUG
rnacentral:rRNA from 1 species